AAACAGAUGCUAAUACCGGAUAANAACAGAUGAUGCCUAUCAACUGUUUAAAAGAUGGUUCUGCUAUCACUCUUGGAUGGACCUGCGGUGCAUUAGCUAGUUGGUAGGGUAACGGCCUACCAAGGCGAUGAUGCAUAGCCGAGUUGAGAGACUGAUCGGCCACAUUGGGACUGAGACACGGCCCAAACUCCUACGGGAGGCAGCAGGC
rnacentral:rRNA from 1 species